AUCUCACCUAAUCCCCAUCACAGCCCUGAUCCCAUUCUACCACACGAAACCACCGAGGCUCAGAGCACGAUCGGGCCAGAGCCCCACGGCCGGCGGGGGAUGAAUGAAUAUGAAUGAGCUGGGAUGGAACCCACGCGUCCACUUCAAAGCCCAUCGGCUCCUUCCACGACAUCCUGUUCAGCAGGCAGCAGGAGGGGCCAUAGAGGCAGACACCCCCACAUUUCCUGACCUAGCACCCAGACCCGGGACUCCACAGGCCCCAGCCUGUCUCCAGCAGCCUCAGAGGUGACUCUAGAAUGGCCCCUGAAGCCCUGCCUCCCUGCUCCCACCACCAGGAAAGCCAGAAACAAGCCCACAACUAGCAUUCCUGAACGCUCACUGCACACCAGGCAUGGCGCCAAGCGCUUCAUAGAGUCACCCUUUGGAGGUGGGUACUACUUUCAUUCCCAUUUGAUGGGUGAGGACACUGAGGCACACACAGGUGGGGCAACUUGCCAUGGGUAGAAUCGGGAACUGACAGCUGGGCCCAUGGGCCUGAUCACUGUGUCGCCCCAUCCAGCAACCUGGGAGGUUUUCCACUCUGACCUGCCACCCCCAAGCCAAGGAGUGUCUAGAGGGGCAGUAAAGGCCUCACCCAGAAGCUCUGCUUAGAUCAGGGGCUCUAGAGCCACUGCCAUUGGGGCACCCCAGUGCCGACCCCUCUCUGCAGCCCAUCUCCUCUCAGGAUGAUGCUUGGGGUCCCUGGAGAGCCCCCACCUCCAUCCUUGAGUCCCAGCCCCAGGUGAGGAGGGGAAGCGGAGAAGGUCUGUGCCCCCACAGACCUCAAAUAGUGUCCUCCGGGACAAGGCCUGUCCUUUGCCUGAGGUCCAGAGAGAGUGUGAGACAAGCAAGGCUCACAUAGCAAGUGGGAGACAGGAAGGGGCCCGACAUCCCUUCAUUUCUGCCUCCCAGUUUGGCACGGAGGGCACCCAACCUCCUAUGCUGGGCAGGUUGAGCUGCUGUGACCCAGUGUGGAGACAGGGAUGGGGCUAUGGGUUCUCAGUAGCUUCUAGAACUCCUUAGGCCCUACCACGCAGCCCUCGGCAACCCUGUGGGCCUACUGUGUGCAUAUACUCUUAUCUCCAAUCCUAUUUCACUCCGUCCCCUCCAGGAGCCUGGCAGUAUCCCCAUUUCACAGAUAAGCAAACUGAGACUGGGACCUGUGACCACUCAGGCAUGGGAUCUAACUCAGGAUGCCUCACUUCCCACCACCAAACAGACCUUCCUGCAGCCACUGCCCCAACCCGACCACUCCCAGCCCUCAGGGACAGCCUCUUCCCAAAAACAAAAGUCUUCCCAGAGCUCCUGGAACCUCGGCUCAGUGGACCAUCUCUCCUCCGACAUUCAGAAAGCAGACUGAGGCCGGGCGCCGUGGCUCAGGCCUGUAAUCCCAGCACUUUGGGGGGCCAAGGCAGGUGGAUCACUUGAGGUCAGAAGUUCGAGACCAGCCUGGUCAACAUGGUGAGACCCGGUCUCUACUAAAAACACAAAAAUUUUCUGGGCGUGGUAGCAGGCGCCUGUAAUCUCAGCUUUCUCUCCAGCCUAGCCAAACAAGCAAAACUCCGUCUCCAAAAAAAAAAGAAAAAAA
ensembl:lncRNA